rnacentral:lncRNA from 1 species
UGCGAAUUUCAUGGAAAAAUCAGGUUUAGAGCCCCGUACUACCUCGCCGAUGUGAGUUACGACUUUGUUGCACUGAGCACUUUUGCAGAGUGAACAAUUGUGAGAAAUAUGGAAUACGAUUGUAGUAUAUUUUCUAUGGAAAAUUUCCCAGUUCUUAAUGUUAAUAUUAAGGGCUAAAAAAAACACCCUAAUGAACAUAUAUAAUGUUUUGAAGUUUACCAUAUCUAAAGUUAUAUAGCGUGGCCGGGCAUGUAGCUAAUUUUUAGUUGCAGAAUCGAGUGAGAUAAUGCCGAAAGCAAAACAGCGAAAAACGGACAAAUUAGCUUCUUAUGUCGCGAAAUAUCCUAUUUUUAAAACUGAUGGCGUCGUAUUGUUUUGCAAAGCUUGCAACAAGUCUGUGUUGUCAGAAAGAUUAUACUCUUUGCAAUCGCAUGUUGCAAGUUUGGCACAUAGUGAAGCGGAAAAAAAAUCAUCAACAAGUACGCAGCCAUUAUUAACUCAAACCACAAGUUCCAAUCAACAUCAGUUCGCGCAAGAUUUAUGCAAAGCAUUAGUUGCAUCGAACAUUCCACUUUAUAAAUUAAUGAAUGAAAACCUAAAAAGUUUUUUUUGAAAAUAUGUAGAUUUAACUAUUCCUUCUGAAACCUCCAUGCGCAGAAUAGUUGGUGAAAUUUACAACGAAACUCUUGAAACCAUAAGAUAUUUGCAUUUGCAUUCAAAUAUUUGUGGACAUCGAUUGACGAGACAACCGACUCGUCUGGGAGAUACAUUGCUAACGUCGUCUGUGGCAUAUUGGAUACGGAUCCUGAAGAGGCCAAAAAACAUUUUUCGGUGCAUGUAGCAGAGUUAAAGAAACCCGAUCACGCUGCUAUUGCUAGAUGUUUUGACGAUGCAAUUAAAUUGUUGGACCCAAAAUUUGACAAAACUCGUAUUCUUUUAUUUCUCACAGACGCUGCGCCGUAUAUGGUGAAAGCCGCGACUGCUUUGAAGAUUAUCUAUCCAAAGAUGACGUGUCUCAUUCAUGGCCUCCACAGAGUAUGCGAAAAGAUUCGCGAGAGCAGUCCAAAAGAAAAAUUUUGUUAAGGCGCCAAAAAUAGUACAUAUUUUCAAAGCCACUGAGCCAGAGCUCGAAUUGCUUCCACAGCCUAUUAUGACUCGAUGGGGUACUUGGCUGGAGGAAGCUUUUUAUUAUGCGAAAAAUUUCGAAAAAAUUAAAAGCAUACUUUUGUUGCUCGAUAAAACUAAAUCAAAAUUUAUACAAAUUGCCAUUGAUAUUCUAAACGAUGAUGACGUCCGCCUCAAAUUAAUUUCUAUCUCAAGUAAUAGAGUCUUAGAGUAAUAUUGGAGGCCAAAGAAUUACUUCAACAAAGUGGUAACGAUAUUAUAGUACGAAAAUUUAAUUCGAUUUUAACAAAAAACAAAGGUUUUCCAGUAAUAAAAGAAAUAUCAAAUCAAAUUUCUGGAGAGAAGAUUGGUGCUACGUUAAAUUACGACAUUGCAGACAUUUGCGCUUUUAGAUUCGCACACCUGACUUCAGUUGAAAAAGAAAGGUCGUUUUCGAUGUAUAAAUCUAUUUUUCGCGACAAUCGGCAAAGUUUUUUAUUAAGUAAUUUAAUGCAAAUGCUUGUGAUUUAUUCAAA